rnacentral:lncRNA from 1 species
UUUUAGUAAAAAAAAACAAUUAAAAAUAUUUUAUCUUCUCACCUAAAGUAGCUACCCACAACAUCCAACCCUCCAAAAGUUGUCUGCAACAACCAGUCGUCCAAGGAGAGAAGUACAUCUAGACGCUGCAGCAAAGAUCAUCUAGAUGCUGCAACAAAGCUCGUUUAGAUGUUACACCAUCUUCCACACCAUCAUCCUCGUCCAUCCCUAUUGCCAACAACCACUUUUCAUACCUAACGAACAUCCAACAAUGUCCAGUUUCAGUCUCUAACCUAGCUAUUGACGCCACCCUUAGGUAAGCAUAAGUUGUUGAUUCCACUAAAUUUUGGUUUGAUUGCUAUAUGUUUGAUGAAAGUAUAAACUAAACUAUUAGCCAGAAGAAUUCAUUUGUAUCUAACCACUUUGCAGGUCAAAAUAUUCGAGUUAUAUAAUUUUGUUGAUUUGCCCAACAAAAUUAAUUUGCUUUAUCUAACCUGACUAUGUUGUUCCAUGGUCGGGAGAGAACAAUAUCAAUGAGUAUGGAAUGAAGACACUAAAAGAAAGGAACAUUGAAUAAAAAGGGAGAAUUUUGAUUUAAUGUAGUUAUAUGAUAUUUGGCAUUUCUUUGUAUAGAUGUGUGUAUUCCUUUCACAUUUAUUUUGCAUAGAUCUUUGUCAUGUUGUGUUAAAUUUACAUUUCAUGAAUCAUAUAUAUUUUUUACUCAAAUCAUGUAACUGUUGAAACAAGCAAUGAAGAAGGAUUGGAAUAGAAGAAGGAAUAGAAAAACAGAGAAUGAAUGAGAAGAAGAUAAAUGUGUAUAUUCAAUCGAGAAGAAGGAGUUGAU